CAGAUGGGGAGCUUGCUCCCUGAUGUUAGCGGCGGACGGGUGAGUAACACGUGGGUAACCUGCCUGUAAGACUGGGAUAACUCCGGGAAACCGGGGCUAAUACCGGAUGGUUGUUUGAACCGCAUGGUUCAAACAUAAAAGGUGGCUUCGGCUACCACUUACAGAUGGACCCGCGGCGCAUUAGCUAAUUGGUGAGGUAAUGGCUCACCAACGCAACGAUGCGUAGCCGACCUGAGAGGGUGAUCGGCCACACUGGGACUGAGACACGGCCCAGACUCCUACGGGAGGCAGCAUUACGGAAUCUUCCGCAAUGGACGAAAGUCUGACGGAUCAACGCCGCGUGAGUGAUGAAGGUUUUCAGAUCGUAAAGCUCUGUUGUUAGGGAAGAAUAAGUACCGUUCGAAUAGAGCGGUACCUUGACGGUACCUGACCAGAAUGCCACUGUUACCUACAUGGCAACAUCCUAUCUAAUACAUAGGUGAAGAACGUUAUAACGAAUUAUGGUUCUUAAAGUGCUCGCA
rnacentral:rRNA from 1 species